AUGGGAAGUUCGACCUUAGUCGGACCCCUUAGAGACUAAGUUCGAGAGAACUUGAUGGUAGUCUUUGAAUUACCAUAAUACGCUAGGAUCCAGAAUUUCUGGAUUAUGGAAUAGUCCGAUCCUCCAAGUGAUUGGAGC
rnacentral:autocatalytically_spliced_intron from 1 species